UUUUUAUGAUGACUACCUACUGCUUGACAUUCUGUGGAAGCAAAAUUACUGAUUUAAUGAGUCUGAGAA